CAUGUAGGCAUCAUUGCAUCCAAAUCAGUACUACAACAUAUCUUUAUAUAAUUCCAAUACUGGGUUAUCAUCAUACAAAAUAAAUGAAACAGAAAGGACUGGAUCAGAAUUAAAAUAUAAUGAGGCCUAUUGCUUUACAGCUACACCAAUGAAUAUCAGCACAGGAGCGUCAAAUAAUGAUACAAUGACUACUGAAUGUGAAUGUCAACCACCAGGAAAUAAUUGUACUAUAGCCACGCCUGACUUCAAUGUUGCUAUUAUUGCAAAUAGUACCACAUGUAAUCAUUGUAAUUAUAAUUGUUGUGCUAAUAUCACUAUUUCCAUACAAUUGGUAUCAAACACAUCAGAACAACAGUAUGCAAAUCAACGUUAUAUAAUAUCAUAUAAUGAUUCCAUUACUGGUAAUGAAGAAUCAGUAGUAACAAAUAAAAGAGAACAGAGCAAGAAUAUACAGCUGCCUUAUAAGGAAACUUAUUGCUUUACAAUCACACCAGUACACUAUUUUGAUUCUGGACUGGAGAAAAAUCGAUGUAUCAAGAUUUCAAAAUGUAACUUAACGGGAAAUGAGCCUACAGGAAAUGAUCCUACUGCAUCAAGUUUUGAAGCUCCUUU